UUCCGUGGCACCGUUGCGAUCAAAUGACUGUUAAUCAUUGGGUCCCUGGUUCGAGUCCAGGUCGUAAGCCA
rnacentral:tRNA from 1 species